GGACGGGUGGUGAGGGGUCCGGGCCGGAUGGCGCGCCUUAGAGCGGACGGUGUUCGUGCUGCUUUCCGUGCCGUGGUUUCUGAAAGGUUGGAGAUUAGGUGUCUCUCGGGCUGACAUUUGAAGGUCUGGAGCUGACGGUUUAUGAGGGCUUGUAAGGGUUUUAAGCGCUCCGGCCAUGGGCACCAACCCGAUCUUCCAGCCCCUGCGGACGGACCGCCCCCCCCCCCGGGGGGGAUUGGCUGCUCUGGGACCCUGAGCCCAGAGGGCGGUGAGAAGCUGACAAACAGAACCAGUUCCAGAGCAAAGAGGAGGAUUCAACUCCCAUCAAGGAAGAACAGCCAAGAGCCAAGCGUAUAUUAUGGACCUGAGAUCCCUGCACUGAGAAGCUCCUAGAAGCAGGAGACUGAGAUAGAGAGAGGAAGCUGUAACCCUGAAGAUGGUAAGAUGCCAUGGCAGGAGAGACCGAGCAACAGGGACCUGGCUAUAGGAGAUGAUGGCCCAUGGAGAAGGAAAGCUGAGUGCCUUUGGAGAGAGGCCGGCCCAAGGCCAGGCAGAGGCACGCCUAUGAGCACAGGAGGGAAGAGGCUGUCCUGAUAGAAGAACUGUAUUCUGAGUGUCGUUGAGCCUGAGUUAUAACUGUUACUUCCCUAAUAAACCCCAUAAUCGUGAAUAUGGACUAUGAGUUCUGUGUGGCCAUUGCAAUGAGUUAUUGAACCCGGCAGAGAAGUAGGGAGUGCUGUGUGAGGGACAGUUGGUGUCAGAGUUAGUGAAGAUGGUGGAGAGAGGAUAGUUUUUCACCAAUGCCUUCAAUGCAGCUUCGAUUUCUUCCUUUUAUACCAUCAGUUCUUGAUCUUAUGCUACCUCUUGAAAUGGUUGAAAAUUAUCCAGUUCUACUGCAGUGGCUGUAUUAAUAUCAGACAAAUUAUACUUCAGAAAAAGGAGUAUUAUUGGGAAUAAGUAGGGACAUAACAUAAUAAAGGUUCAAUUCUCCAAAAAGAUAAAACACUCCUAAAUGUGUACAUGUCUAACAACAGCGCUCCAAAAUACAAAAACUAAUAAAUCUGAAAGGGGAAAUGGACAAAUACGCAUUUAUAACUGGUAUCAGUACUUUUCUAUCAAUAAUUAAUAGAGCCCUGCUAGUUGAAGUCCAGAGCAUCUGUAUGAACCACUCAUGGAUGUCUAUGUGUGUGUAUGUGUGUAUGUAUGUAUAUAGUAUAAAGAGAAGUAACACAGAAAUAAACAUAGAUACAUGUUGUAGUCCUUGGGAGGUACAAACGGUUAAUGCAUUCAGCUGCUAACCAAAAUGUUGGAGGUUUGAGUCCACCCAGAGGCACUUUGGAAGAAAGGCUUGGUGAUCUACUUUUGAAAAAUUAGCCAUUGAACUGACACACUUGUGUGUCAGUACUACUCUGACACACAUGAGGGGAGGGGUCACCACGAGUCAGAUCAGCUUGAUAGCAAUCGAAUGAUUUUUUUAUGCAUUCUGCCAAUGUUUGUCUUUUAAUUGGUAUCUUAGGCUGGGUUCUCUAGAGAAACAAAACCAGUGAGGUGUAUAUAUAUAUAUUUAUAUAUAAAUAGCUUUAUAUCAAGAAAAUGGCUCACGAGGCUGUAGAGGCUGGUAAGUCUCAAGUCCAUGGGUCAGGCUUGUGGCUUCUCCUGACUCACAUAGAUGCAGGGACUGCAGAACUCAAGAUCUGCAGGUCAUACAACAGGUCUGUGGCUCACAGGCUGCAAAGGCUGACAGAUCUCAAGAUCGGCAGGUAAGCUGGCAGGCCGCAGCUCACAGACUGCGGAGGCUGGUGAAUCCCAAAAUUGGAAGGUAAGCUGAGAGUUCAAGUCCCAAAAACUUGAGAUCAGAUGAAGAGGAGCCAGCUGCAGGAUUCCGAGUUAGCAAAAGCUCAAGAGCCUUGCCAGAAAGUCCACCUAUAUUGGAUGCAUUCCACACCCCCGAGGAAACUCCCUUAGAUCUGAUUGGCUACUCACAGCAGAUCCCAUCAUGGAGGUAAUCACAUUAUAUCACAUCUCAUCAUGGAAAUGAUUGCAUCGUUAUACGACUGCUAAACUACAUCAUAACUGCCAAAGCACUGAGAAUCAUGGUCCAACAAAGUUGACACACAACUUUAAUGAUCCCAAUUGUGAAUUUAAUCUAUUUAAAUUUAAAGCGAUUAAUGAUAAGGAAGGACUUAUGUCUUCUACUUUGUAGUAGGUCAUAUACAUAUUUUGUUUCUCAUUUUCUUCACUACCGUCCACUUUUGUGUUUGACUGAUUUUUUUCAAGUGUACAAUUUUGAUCCUCUCCUUAUUUCCUUUCCUUAUGUUUUUUAACUUCUUAGUGGUGACCAUGAGGAUUACAAUUAAUAUCUUAUGUUCAUAACAAUCUUCUUUUAGUUAAUACAAAUUUAGCUUCAACAGUAUACAACAUUCUGCUUUUAUUCAGCUCAGUUACCUCCCCUACUUACGUUGCUGUUACAAAAAUUGCAUCUUUAUACAUUGUGUGUCCAUUAAGAGAGAUGUGUAAGUAUUUUUAUGCAUUUGUGCUUUAAAUCAUAUAUGAAAAAAAGAGAGGCGUGAUAUAAAAAUAUUACCGACUUUGUUUUAUCUAAGUAGUUACCUUUACGGAGUCUUCGUUUCUUUUUAUGGCUUCAAGUUACUGUCUAGUGUCCUUCCGUGCCAGCCAGGAUGAUUCCCUGUAGCAUUUCUCAUAAGGCAGUUCUGCUGCUAACAUACUCCCUCAGGUUUUGUGUAUCUGGGCAUGUCUUAAUUUCACCUUCAUUUUUGAAAGAUAGUUUUGCUAGAUAUUGACAUCUUGGUUCAUAGUUUUGUUUCUGUAUUUUUUUUCCAGUACCUUACAUACAUCAUUCGACUAUUUUCUUGUCUCAAUGGUUUCUGAUGAAAAAUCAACAGUUAAACUUGUUGAGACUCUCUUGUACAUUAGGGGUCACUUAUCUGUUGCUGCUUUCAAGUUUCUGUCUUCGUCUUUUGACAUUUUGAUUAUGUCUGUCUGUGGAUAUCUAUGUAUUUACUGUCCUUUGAGUUUAUUGAGCUUCUUGGAUAUCUAGAUGACAUUUGGGAAACUUCCAGUCAUUACGUUUUUAAAUAUUCUUUCUGUCCUUUCAUCUUUCUUUCCUUUCUGGGACUCCCUUAAUGAGUAUAUUGGUAUGCUUGAUGUUGUCCCGCAGGUCCCUUAGGCUCUAUUCAUUUUCUUCAUUCUUUUUCCUUUAUGCUCCUCAGUUAGAAUAAUUUCAGUUGUGCUUUUUCAAGUUUACAUUUUCCUGCUUUCUUGCUCAAAUCUGCUGUUGAGCUCCUCUAAUGAAAUUUUUUUUUUUUUAAUUUUUAUUAAGCUUCAAGUGAACAUUUACCAUUUCAAUCAGUCUGUCACAUGUAGGUUUACAUACAUCUUACUCCCUUCUCCCACUUGCUCUCCCCCUAUUGAGUCAGCCCUUACAGUCUCUCGUUUCGUGCCAAUUUUACCUUCUUCCCUCUCUCUCUAUCUUCCCAUCCCCCCUCCAGUCAAGAGUUGCCAACACACUCUCCUGUGUCCACCUGAUUUAAUUAGCUCACUCUUCAUCAGUAUCUCUCUCCCCCCCACUGACCAGUCCUUUUCAUGCCUGAUGAUUUGUCUUCGGGGAUGGUUCCUGUCCUGUGCCAUCAGAAGUUCUGGGGAGCAUUGUCUCUGGGAUUCCUCUAGUCGCAAUCAUACCAUUAGGUGUGGUCUUUUAAUGAGAAUUUGGGGUCUGCAUCCCAUUGGUCUCCUGCUCCCUCAGGAGUUGUCUGUUGUGUUCCCUGACAGGGCAGACAUCGAUUGUGGCCGGGCACCAACUAGUUCUUCUGGUCUCAGGAUAUUGUUGGUCUCUGGUUCAAGUGGCCCUUUCUGUCUCUUGGGUUCUUAGUUGUCGUGUGACCUUGGUGUUCUUCCUUUGCCUUUGCUCCCGGUGGGUUGAGACCAAUUAAUGUAUUUUAGAUGGCUGCUUGUUGGCAUUUAGGACCCCAGGUGCCACAAUUCAAAGUGGGAUGCAGAGUGUUUUCAUAAUAGAAUUGUUUUGCCCAUUGAUUUAGAAGUCCUCUCAAACCAAGUUCCCCAGACCCCAGCCCCUGCUUCGCUAUCCUUUGAAGCUUUCAUUUUCUCUCGAAAACCUCUUUACUUUUAAUCCUGUCCAAUUAGGCUGACCUUCCAUGUUUUGAGUGUUGUCUUUCCCUUCACCCAAAGCAGUUCCCAUCUACAGAUUGAUCAAUAAAAAGCCCUCUCCCUCCCUC